CCUACGGGAGGCAGCAGUGGGGAAUAUUGGGCAAUGGGCGCAAGCCUGACCCAGCAACGCCGCGUGAAGGAAGAAGGCUUUCGGAUUGUAAACUUCUUUUGUCAGGGACGAAGCAAGUGCCGGUACCUGACGAAUAAGCCCCGGCUAACUCCGUGCAAGCAGCCGCGGUAAUACGUAGGUGGCAAGCGUUAUCCGGAUUUCCUGGGUGUAAAGGGCGUGUAGGCGGGACUGCAAGUCAGAUGUGAAAACCACGGGCUCAACCUGUGGCCUGCAUUUGAAACUGUAGUUCUUGAGUACUGGAGAGGCAGACGGAAUUCCUAGUGUAGCGGUGAAAUGCGUAGAUAUUAGGAGGAACACCAGUGGCGAAGGCGGUCUGCUGGACAGCAACUGACGCUGAGGCGCGAAAGCGUGGGGAGCAAACAGGAUUAGAUACCCCUGUAGUC
rnacentral:rRNA from 1 species